rnacentral:rRNA from 1 species
GUAGUCCACGCUGUAAACGUUGGGCACUAGGUGUGGCGACCCGAUCAACGGUUGCCGUGCCGAAGCUAACGCAUUAAGUGCCCCGCCUGGGGAGUACGGCCGCAAGGCUAAAACUCAAAGGAAUUGACGGGUCCCCGCACAAGCGGCGGAGCAUGCGGCUUAAUUCGAUGCGACCCGAAGAACCUUACCUGGGUUUGACAUCAUGGGAAAAGCCGUAGAGAUACGGUGUCCGAAAGGGCCCAUGACAGGUGGUGCAUGGCUGUCGUCAGCUCGUGUCGUGAGAUGUUGGGUUAAGUCCCGCAACGAGCGCAACCCUUGUCUUAUGUUACCAGCGGGUUAUGCCGGGGACUCAUAAGAGACUGCCGGGGACAACUCGGA